rnacentral:lncRNA from 1 species
UAAAACUAUGAAUCCAAAAAUUCACACGACAAUCCGUAAACCCGAUCCGAGACUCAAAAUAACUCAACCGCAUGACUACGGCCACAUCACCCAGUGGCAUGGUUACACCGAAGUGCCAAUACAACUCUCCGAAGAGCCGCUCCACUGAGCCAAUGCACCACUGUGCCGCACCCCCUGGUGCCAAACUCACGCUCCACUGAGCCGCUCCGAAGAGCAAAAUGCACCCCUGUGCCGCCACUAUUCUAUCACCGGUGGUCGCGGUGUCGGAACUAGUUCCUCAGUACAAGUCGACAGGGCCAACGUAUCAUCCCAUUGGCGGGGCCUAGACUAUAGUCACGUGGAUUUUAAAAGUCAACAAAUCGACUUUCCAACUCAAGUCAUGAACAAACUUCCAAUAGUACAGUACAUAACAGUUUAUGAAAUUAAAUAUUUAAUUCUAAAUCUAACAAUAAUGCCAAUAAUAAAUCAAUAAAUCAACAUAUGCAAGAUACAUGUUAAAAUUCUACUUUAAAGCAAUAGGUCACCUACCUGGGCUCGCUUAAAAAAUCCCUGCCACAGAUAUCACGAACCCCUGAUUAAACAUAAAUAUUAAUUAUUUAAUUAAUUAAGAAACAUAAUUUAAACUAAUUUCAACCCCUUAAACUCCUAAGUUCAUAAAUCCAAGAAUGGGCCCCCAAGAUCAAACAUAUACCCUAAAAUCAGAAUCCUUUAAACUCAAGUCAAUUGUGGCCCAAAA